rnacentral:rRNA from 1 species
GACGAACGCUGGCGGCGUGCCUAAUACAUGCAAGUAGAACGCAGUUGCGAACGGGUGAGUAACGCGUAGGUAACUGCCUGGUAGAGGGGGAUAACUAUUGGAAACGAUAGCUAAUACCGCAUACUACUAGAUGGACCUGCGUUGUAUUAGCUAGUUGGUGGGGUAACGGCCUACCAAGGCAACGAUACAUAGCCGACCUGGGAGGGUGAUCGGCCACACUGGGACUGGGACACGGGCCAGACUCCUACGGGAGGCAGCAGUAGGGAAUCUUCGGCAAUGGGGGGAACCCUGACCGAGCAACGCCGCGUGAGUGAAGAAGGUUUUCGGAUCGUAAAGCUCUGUUGUUAAGGAAGCGGUACUUAACCAGAAAGGGACGGCUAACUACGUGCCAGCAGCCGCGGUAAUUC